AAGAUGUAUGUUCGUAGCGGCGGAACGGGUGAGUAACGCGUGAGCAACCUGUCCUUCACGAGGGGAUAACACAGCGAAAGUUAUACUAAUACCGCAUAAGACCACACCGGGACAUCCCGGAGGGGUCAAAGGAGCAAUCCGGUGAAGGGUGGGCUCGCGUCCGAUUAGAUAGUUGGUGAGGUAACGGCCCACCAAGUCGACGAUCGGUAGCCGACCUGAGAGGGUGAUCGGCCACAUUGGGACUGAGACACGGCCCGAAACUCCUACGGGAGGCAGCAGUGGGGAAUAUUGGGCAAUAGGGGGAAACCCUGACCCAGCAACGCCGCGUGAGGGAAGAAGGUUUUCGGAUCGUAAACCUCUGUCCUUGGUGAAGAGGAAGAGACGGUAGCCAAGGAGGAAGCCCCGGCUAACUACGUGCCAGCCGCCGC
rnacentral:rRNA from 1 species